UACGAAGGGUGCAAGCGUUACUCGGAAUUACUGGGCGUAAAGCGUGCGUAGGUGGUGAGUUAAGUCUGUCGUGAAAGCCCCGGGCUCAACCUGGGAAUGGCGAUGGAUACUGGCUCGCUAGAGUGCGGUAGAGGAGAGUGGAAUUCCUGGUGUAGCGGUGAAAUGCGCAGAUAUCAGGAGGAACACCAAUGGCGAAGGCAGCUCGCUGGGACGGUACUGACGCUGAGACGCGAAAGCGUGGGGAGCAAACAGG
rnacentral:rRNA from 1 species